CACGCAGGGUGCGAGCGUUGUCCGGAAUUAUUGGGCGUAAAGAGCUCGUAGGCGGUGUGUCGCGUCGGCCGUGAAAACCUGCAGCUUAACUGUGGGCGUGCGGUCGAUACGGGCAUCACUGGAGUUCGGCAGGGGAGACUGGAAUUCCUGGUGUAGCGGUGAAAUGCGCAGAUAUCAGGAGGAACACCGGUGGCGAAGGCGGGUCUCUGGGCCGAUACUGACGCUGAGGAGCGAAAGCGUGGGGAGCAAACAGG
rnacentral:rRNA from 1 species